rnacentral:sRNA from 1 species
CAAAAAUGUAAAAUACAUGCUACUUAUAGCAAAAUAUUCUGAAACCCUAAUACUCAAAACGACGCAGUCUUGGGACGGAUUAUGAACGGUACUCAACCCAGGUGGUCGAGUGAUUAGUCGAGUGGCGGAUGAUGGUGAGACUCGACUAGGUGGUAGAGUGAUUGGUCGAGUGAAUGAUGAUGGUGAUACUCGGCCAUGUUAGUAGAGUGAUGGGUUGAGUGAAUAAUGAUGGUGGGCUUCUUCUUGCUUCUCAAAUCUUUGAUGGUGUAGCUGUAGUCCGUAUGAGUCUUUGGCUUUGUAUCUUCUAUGAAGGAAACACUACUUAGGUUUUUAGGAUUCCGUUGCGGUUCUUUUUCUUAUAUUCAAUCAUACACAUCAUAUCAAGUCAUAUUUAACACCGUUGCGGUUGAUCCGGUUCCGGUAUUUGUUAUUUCCAGUAAUUGGGGAUAGAAACACAAAUACGUAUUUAACACCGAUGAAAGAGGGUGUAGAGUUGUACAGAUAGAUGGGGAAACAAUGCACGACAAACUUGUGAAGUUGGUGUUCGAUGAUAAAGUUAGAAGAAAUGUUGCGUCUCUUAUUGUUUAGCGGAAAAUUUACAUGUCACGGCUGAGUUAUACUCUUAAGGGAAGACAAAAGGUUCGGUCAAUUUACAUGUCACGGCUAAGUUAUAUGUUCCAGGGAAGACGAAAGGUACGAUAAAAUUACAUUACGGCUGAAAUGUCCUGGUUUUUACUGAUUUCUAACAUAGUUUCAAAAUGGUUUUUAGAGUCUUUCUAGUUUUUUUUGUAUAUUUUGAGUCAUUUCAGGUACAUUUACACAUCUGGGAGCUAUGGAGCACAAUAAGGAAUUUUGGAAACUUUUUAGCAAUAAAGAUUGUGAAGGACGUUUUUCAGAAGAUGGUGUCGAUCGACACCACACCUGUGUCGAUCGACACUCUUAUUGCUGCCAAGGGAAUUCUCGUUUACUGCCAAGUCUUUGAGAAACCCUGAAGUCUUCCUUAUUUGCAAAGUAGUCCCUGCACGUUUUUAGUCACGAAUACACCUAAUUGUUAGG